CAUUAUAGCCUUGCUACAAAUGACAACUAUUUAUUUAAAUUAUUUUUAAAUAUCUAAUCGACAUGAAUAACUAUUAACUACUUACCCGAACUAUCUUGGACUCUAAAAGCGUUGGAUUCCAUUUUGGGACAUCUUCAAUGCGGUAGAACAGCUCCUCCAUAAGCGCUUUGGCGGGAUACUUAAGACGCGCCUGAAUUAAAGAAAUUCAUAUGCCUUGCGCAGGCAAUCCAAGCCCAUUUGAUUGUACUCCUCAUCCUGUGCAUUGUGCAAAAGAAUGAUGUGCCGUGUCCAAGGGUGAAUAGAAAUCGGUGACGCUUUGCGGUGGGCGCUCGUGUUCAGUCAAGAUCGUUGGCUGCGUUAAUGUUGUGCGAUCAUUUGUGCUCGCAGCUAAGCAACAGAAGAUGGUUUGGAAUAAAUAAAUACAAAUAUCGAAUGGAUCACAAGAUUUACCUGCAAAAUAACGACGGGCAUGCCGCUCCUGGGGUAUCACACGGCAGUCCAGAAACCAAGCCUCACCCCAGGCGAGAAUGAAUGAUGUUAUAAUGAGUAUCACCUCGAAUACUUGCUGUUUGGAGUGCACCCACUAAAAAUAAGGAAAUAUUGUAACAUUAAAACUUAAUGCGGAUCUAUAAUGGAUAAACUUACAUCAUAGAAAAACACUUUGGUGAUGAGAAACAAACAUGAGGCGCUUGUGGAAAGCUGCAAGUUGCAAGUUACAAAUUAAAGAUAUACGAGAAUCAAACGACAGUCGCUUACCGCUAUAAUGGACCAAUGAUUUAUAUACAGCAAUGCAUAGAAAAAGAUUAAAACUACGAAGCGGCAAAGCGCCGUGGCAACUACAUCAAAAAGCGAUGUGUAUAUGGUAUACUGCAUGACUUGUUUCUGAAAGGCCUGGAAUAUGUUGUCGCCACCAAUCUACGCAGAAAAUAGAAAAAUUGAGCAUUCUCUUGUGCAGACACCCGCUGUAUACAUACGACUAUGCAAAUCAGCCAAAGCAGCGAAACGAACACCAAAUCGAAGGUGACAAACAAGCAGAAGAAACGUCGCACCACAGACAUGCGUCCAUCCUGCAUAUAGCCGCCCAGGAACUCCUCCGUAAACAAAUUUAUGGAAUGCGGUCGCGCUGUAUAAACAACAAAUAUUAUUUAGAAUAAAAUAUAAUAGGUAUGAUAUGGGGGUGCAUUCACUACUUACGCAUAUCGUACGGCAUGUGGUAGGGAUUGCCGCCAUGCCGAGCAUUUGUGAGCAGAAGCUGAGCUGUGCUGCGUACAUCAUCCGAAUCAUUUUGGGACAUGGCUGUGCGUGGCUGGUUUUAAGGUCUUAGCUCAUUUUAGCAAAACACUGCAAAUCCAACUGUAAUUCAAUAUAAUUAACAAUUGUUGUUUAUAUCAA